ACUAGAUCACGUUGAAACACCGGUUCUCGUAUGAUCACCGAAGUUAAGCAAGAUCGAGCCUGUUCAGUAUCUAAACGGGUAAGCGCUUGAGAAUACCAGGGG